AUAUUUCAGAACUGAGUCUAGUUCCUUCGAUAUCAGUGUAAUCUAAUAAUCAUGAAAUUUGCUGUACUCAUGAUUAUUAGAUUACACUGAUAUCGAAGGAACUAGACUCAGUUCUGAAAUAU